rnacentral:rRNA from 1 species
CCUACGGGAGGCAGCAGUGAGGAAUAUUGGUCAAUGGGCGAGAGCCUGAACCAGCCAAGUCGCGUGAGGGAGUACUGUCCUAUGGGUUGUAAACCUCUUUUGUCGGGGAGCAAAAGCCGGACGUGUCCGGCUGUGAGAGUACCCGAAGAAAAAGCAUCCGCUAACGUCCUGCCAGCAGCCGCGGUAAUACGGAGGAUGCGAGCGUUAUCCGGAUUUAUUGGGUUUAAAGGGUGCGCAGGCGGAUUUUUAAGUCAGCGGUAAAAUCGUGGGGCUCAACCCCCUCCAGCCGUUGAAACUGGGGGUCUAGAGUGGGCGAGAGGUAUGCGGAAUGCGUGGUGUAGCGGUGAAAUGCAUAGAUAUCACGCAGAACCCCGAUUGCGAAGGCAGCAUACCGGUGCACAACUGACGCUCAGGCACGAAAGCGUGGGUAUCGAACAGGAUUAGAUACCCUUGUAGUC